rnacentral:misc_RNA from 1 species
UCUCCGUUGGUGAACCAGCGGAGGGAUCAUUAUAGAGUUUUCUAACUCCCAAACCCUUUGUGAACUUACUAUUUUGUUGCCUCGGCGGGCGGCCCCAGGGGGGGCCCGCGGCCCUACGGUGCCCGCCGGAGCUACAAAACUCUAGCUGUUUUUAGUAACCUUCUGAGGAACAGGCAAAUAAAGUUAAAACUUUCAGCAACGGAUCUCUUGGUUCUGGCAUCGAUGAAAAACGCAGC